rnacentral:rRNA from 1 species
AUGAAAUACGUGGGAGAACCCAUGAUCCACUUGGAGUCUAUUGCUUCCUCUGCAGUACGGGCUGCUAUUAAAGCUAAUUGCCAAGUACAGGCCCACCAUGCCAUUCCUCAUCUAAAAACAAAUCAAUUGAAGUGGAGCUUCACAAGCGCAUUUGAAGCAAGACAAUCACUCAUAGUUAGAGGCCUCUUUCCCAUGCUUGCCGAUCCACAUCACCCGGCUGAAUCUACUAGCACUAGAAAUGAAUCAGUGUUGAAGGUUUCUCUUGACCACGGCAAAGCAUCCGGUGUGAUCAAGUCGCAUGGCUUACCUUAG